rnacentral:rRNA from 1 species
CCUACGGGAGGCAGCAGUGGGGAAUUUUGGACAAUGGGCGAAAGCCUGAUCCAGCAAUGCCGCGUGAGUGAAGAAGGCCUUCGGGUUGUAAAGCUCUUUUGUCAGGGAAGAAACGGUGAGAGCUAAUAUCUCUUGCUAAUGACGGUACCUGAAGAAUAAGCACCGGCUAACUACGUGCCAGCAGCCGCGGUAAUACGUAGGGUGCAAGCGUUAAUCGGAAUUACUGGGCGUAAAGCGUGCGCAGGCGGUUUUGUAAGUCUGAUGUGAAAUCCCCGGGCUCAACCUGGGAAUUGCAUUGGAGACUGCAAGGCUAGAAUCUGGCAGAGGGGGGUAGAAUUCCACGUGUAGCAGUGAAAUGCGUAGAUAUGUGGAGGAACACCGAUGGCGAAGGCAGCCCCCUGGGUCAAGAUUGACGCUCAUGCACGAACGACGGUGGGGAGGACGAAACGAAGGAGUAGUAUACCUACGGUAGUACCGACCGACCCGUAAACCGACUAGUACUACUAGUUGUUCGGUUCGUUAAUUAGUACGUU